AACGAACGCUGGCGGCAUGCCUAACACAUGCAAGUCGAACGAUGCCUCCGGGCAUAGUGGCGCACCGGUGCGUAACGCGUGGGAAUCUGCCCUUGGGUUCGGAAUAACUCGCCGAAAGGCGAGCUAAUACCGGAUGAUGACGUAAGUCCAAAGAUUUAUCGCCCAAGGAUGAGCCCGCGUAGGAUUAGCUAGUUGGUGGGGUAAAGGCCCACCAAGGCGACGAUCCUUAGCUGGUCUGAGAGGAUGAUCAGCCACACUGGGACUGAGACACGGCCCAGACUCCUACGGGAGGCAGCAGUGGGGAAUAUUGGACAAUGGGCGAAAGCCUGAUCCAGCAAUGCCGCGUGAGUGAUGAAGGCCUUAGGGUUGUAAAGCUCUUUUACCCGGGAUGAUAAUGACAGUACCGGGAGAAUAAGCUCCGGCUAACUCCGUG
rnacentral:rRNA from 1 species